rnacentral:rRNA from 1 species
CAGCAGCCGCGGUAAUACCAGCCCCGCGAGUGGUCGGGACGGUUAUUGGGCCUAAAGCGCCCGUAGCCGGCCCGGCAAGUCCCUCCUUAAAGCCUCGGGCCCAACCCGAGGACGGGGGGGAUACUGCCGGGCUAGGGGGCGGGAGAGGCCGGCGGUACUCCCGGGGUAGGGGCGAAAUCCGUUAAUCCCGGGAGGACCACCAGUGGCGAAGGCGGCCGGCUGGAACGCGCCCGACGGUGAGGGGCGAAAGCCGGGGGAGCGAACCGGAUUAGAUACCCGGGUAGUCCCGGCGGUAAACGAUGCGGGCUAGCUGUUGGGCGGGCUUAGAGCCCGCCCAGUGGCGCAGGGAAGCCGUUAAGCCCGCCGCCUGGGGAGUACGGCCGCAAGGCUGAAACUUAAAGGAAUUGGCGGG